rnacentral:lncRNA from 1 species
AUGGAGUCUGAAUGGCGGAAAGAGGGUGGGGUACCUGGACUCCGGGGGCCUGUCCCAGCGCUCUGCGUUGGUCCCACCCGGGGACCAGCCUCUGGGAGAGCGGCUGCCCGGAUACCUCCAGCUCGCUCGGCCAGGGGCCCUCUCCCAGCAGCUCCUGCUGCUCCCAGAACUCGGAGGGCCGCGCUGGUUACUGGGGGAGGGGGUCGAGGAGACCCUGGGGGUCUGGGGGUAGGAAGGCCGGGAGGGCGAGAAGCCGUCGUCCGCGUGGCGGCCCCUGCCCUGCCCUUGUCCCUCUUCUCCAUCCCGCACCUGAUGAGGAGACAGACGGAUCAGCAUUCCAGCUCCUGCACUGCUAGGCUGCCUGCAGGGACCCGGGUCCUGGCACCUCGCUGCCCCUUCCCCAGCGUUGCCACCCGUAGGAGCCCAAACCUCGGCCUCGAUCCACUUCCCUCCCACCCACACACCCACUCACCACCCACAGGCCCAGCUGCUCAGGGUUGUCCCCUAGCCCCACCCCCACCGCCUUCCUCCAAAGCUGAAAGGCCCUGCCAGCCCCAGCCCGCCCUCCUCUGCUCCCUUUCAGGACCCGAGACCCACGCCCCUACCCUUCGCCCCUUCAGGGACCCGGACCGCCAGCCUUGGGGACAGGGGGACUGCCACAGUCUCCAUCUAAAGGGGAUGGGAGCGCAUGCCCGGGUCCCCUCGCCACCCCCCAGCUCCCUCCCCGAGGAUGCGGGCACCUGCCGGGAGGAGGAGCGGCCCCGGCGGCCCGCGAUGGGGCUCAGGGAGACAAAGAGCCGCGUCGGGAGCCCGUCCCCCUCCCCCAGCCGGGCCCUGGUCCGCGCCGCCCGCUCCACCUGCUCGCGCCGCGCUCACCUCGGGCUCCGGCCGCCCGCCUCUCCACGCUGGGUCGCCUGGGGUGGGGCCGGGCGGGAGCGCCGCGGCUGCAGCGUGCGGAGGGCUGGCGAGGGGAGGGGGCUGCGGGCGGUGGCGCUGGGAGAGGGGCCCGCCCCUCGGCCGCGGACGGGGAGACGGGGGCGCGCGCGCUCGAGCCAGACCCGGGAGGCGGCGGGCGGGAGCGCGCCGGGGGCGGCGGGGAGAGGCGCGGUGGAAGGAGGCGCGGCUUUUCCGCGCCUGAGCCGGAGGGCCCCAGAUUCCCAGCCGCAGGGGCUUCGGGGGAAUCCCUUGGGGUCCCGACAGGGCCUAGCCCCUUCCUCCCAACACACACACCUGCCCCGGCCCCCACCCCAACCACCUGGUGACCGAGGCCAGCCUGGACGCGGAUAG